rnacentral:rRNA from 1 species
GAUCAUGGCUCAGGACGAACGCUGGCGGCGUGCUUAACACAUGCAAGUCGAACGAAGAGCGAUGGAAGCUUGCUUCUAUCAAUCUUAGUGGCGAACGGGUGAGUAACGCGUAAUCAACCUGCCCUUCANAGGGGGGACAACAGUUGGAAACGACUGCUAAUACCGCAUACGAUCUGACCUCGGCAUCGAGGAUGGAUGAAAGGUGGCCUCUAUUUAUAAGCUAUC